UACGAAGGGGGCUAGCGUUGCUAGGAUUGACUGGGCGUAAAGGGCGCGUAGGCGGUUUGCACAGUCAGACGUGAAAUUCCUGGGCUUAACCUGGGGGCUGCGUUUGAUACGUGCAGGCUUGAGUUCGGAAGAGGGUCGUGGAAUUCCCAGUGUAGAGGUGAAAUUCGUAGAUAUUGGGAAGAACACCGGUGGCGAAGGCGGCGACCUGGUCCGAUACUGACGCUGAGGCGCGAAAGCGUGGGGAGCAAACAGG
rnacentral:rRNA from 1 species